rnacentral:misc_RNA from 1 species
AAAGUCGUAACAAGGUAUCCGUAGGUGAACCUGCGGAUGGAUCAUUAACGUGUAAUAGCCGGCGGUUGUCAUGACUGUCGGUCUAAUAACUCUGUUAUAUACCCUUGUGGUGAAAAUAGGAAACUAGUGUGAUUGUGGCGAGUGCGGUUAAACGCGUGAGCCACAGUCCUCUUCUUAACCAAAAACAUUAUCAACUCAACUUGUCUAAAGUAACCUUGUGGACCAGAGGGGACUUGUCCUCUUGCAUCACCAAGUAAAACAAUAGUAAUCUAAUACAACUGCUAGCAACGGAUCACUCGGCUCUC